GUCUGAACCAGCUGCAGAGCAUCGUGUUCAGGCAGAAGGCCCACCUGGAGUCGACGUCCGCCCUGCAGGGGGCGCCCGCGCCCGGCGGCUUCUCGGCGGAUGUGCCCCGAAUGCCGCCGUCCCCGAGAGGAAUACUGAUCAAAAGUCAAGAGUACGAGUCUGGCCCGGUUCGUCUGAGCUCGCACCGGUCGCGGCUGGGCGGCACGCAGACCUCCCUGACUGGCGUCUCCCUACGGCCCUCGGCGCC